CGCGUGAGAAUCUGCCUCUAGGUCGGGGACAACAGUUGGAAACGACUGCUAAUCCCGGAUGAGCCUAAUGGUCAAAGAUUUAUNUGCCUAGAGAGGAGCUCGCGUCCGAUUAGUUAGUUGGUGGGGUAAUGGCUCACCAAGACAGCGAUCGGUAGCUGGUCUGAGAGGACGAUCAGCCACACUGGGACUGAGACACGGCCCAGACUCCUACGGGAGGCAGCAGUGGGGAAUUUUCCGCAAUGGGCGAAAGCCUGACGGAGCAAUACCGCGUGCGGGAGGANAGGCCCUUGGGUCGUAAACCGCUUUUCUCAGGGAAGAAGUCCNUGACGGUACCUGAGGAAAAAGCCUCGGCUAACUCCGUGCCAGCAGCCGCGGUAAUACGGAGGAGGCAAGCGUUAUCCGGAAUUAUUGGGCGUAAAGCGUCCGCAGGUGGUAUUGUAAGUCUGCUGUCAAAGACAGAAGCUCAACUUCUGAUAGGCAGUGGAAACUGCAAAACUAGAGUACAGUAGGGGUAGAGGGAAUUCCCAGUGUAGCGGUGAAAUGCGUAGAGAUUGGGAAGAACACCGGUGGCGAAAGCGCUCUGCUGGGCUGUAACUGACACUGAGGGACGAAAGCUAGGGGAGCGAAUGGGA
rnacentral:rRNA from 1 species